rnacentral:rRNA from 1 species
UACAGAGGGGGCAAGCGUUGUUCGGAAUUACUGGGCGUAAAGGGCGCGUAGGCGGCCUGCUAAGUCGAACGUGAAAUCCCCGGGCUCAACCCGGGAACUGCGUCCGAUACUGGCAGGCUUGAAUUCGGGAGAGGGAUGCGGAAUUCCAGGUGUAGCGGUGAAAUGCGUAGAUAUCUGGAGGAACACCGGUGGCGAAGGCGGCAUCCUGGACCGAAAUUGACGCUGAGACGCGAAAGCGUAGGGAGCAAACAGG